GAGCAGCAGUCGCCGCGGUAAUACGGAGGGUGCAAGCGUUAAUCGGAAUUACUGGGCGUAAAGCGCACGCAGGCGGUCUGACAAGUCAGAUGUGAAAUCCCCGGGCUUAACCUGGGAACUGCAUUUGAAACUGUCAGGCUGGAGUCUUGUAGAGGGGGGUGGAAUUCCAGGUGUAGCGGUGAAAUGCGUAGAGAUCUGGAGGAAUACCGGUGGCGAAGGCGGCCCCCUGGACAAAGACUGACGCUCAGGUGCGAAAGCGUGGGGAGCAAACAGGAUUAGAUACCCCUGUAGUCCCUGUCUCUUAUAC
rnacentral:rRNA from 1 species